UCUCCGUUGGUGAACCAGCGGAGGGAUCAUUACUGGAAUCGCAAGAUCCCACAACCCUGUGAACCUACCGAAACGUUGCCUCGGCGGGUGCCCGGCCUCUGCGCCGGGCGCUGCGCCCGCCGGCGGCCCCCUACUCUGUCUCUGCAGCGUGGCAUCUCAGAGUCCCAGAAAACAAGUCAAAACUUUCAACAACGGAUCUCUUGGCUCUG
rnacentral:misc_RNA from 1 species